GACGAACGCUGGCGGCGUGCUUAACACAUGCAAGUCGAACGGAAAGGCCCUGCUUUUGUGGGGUGCUCGAGUGGCGAACGGGUGAGUAACACGUGAGUAACCUGCCCUUGACUUUGGGAUAACUUCAGGAAACUGGGGCUAAUACCGGAUAGGAGCACCUGCUGCAUGGUGGGGGUUGGAAAGUUUCGGCGGUUGGGGAUGGACUCGCGGCUUAUCAGCUUGUUGGUGGGGUAGUGGCUUACCAAGGCUUUGACGGGUAGCCGGCCUGAGAGGGUGACCGGCCACAUUGGGACUGGGAGACGACCCGGACUCCUACGGGGGGCAGCAGUGGGGAAUAUUGCACAAUGGGCGGAAGCCUGAUGCAGCAACUCCGCGUGCGGGAUGACGGCCUUCGGGUUGUAAACCGCUUUCGCCUGUGACGAAGCGUGAGUGACGGUAAUGGGUAAAGAAGCACCGGCUAACUACGUG
rnacentral:rRNA from 1 species